AGCCAUGCCGCGUGUGUGAAGAAGGCCUUUUGGUUGUAAAGCACUUUAAGCGAGGAGGAGGCUACUUAGAUUAAUACUCUAGGAUAGUGGACGUUACUCGCAGAAUAAGCACCGGCUAACUCUGUGCCAGCAGCCGCGGUAAUACAGAGGGUGCGAGCGUUAAUCGGAUUUACUGGGCGUAAAGCGUGCGUAGGCGGCUUUUUAAGUCGGAUGUGAAAUCCCUGAGCUUAACUUAGGAAUUGCAUUCGAUACUGGGAAGCUAGAGUAUGGGAGAGGAUGGUAGAAUUCCAGGUGUAGCGGUGAAAUGCGUAGAGAUCUGGAGGAAUACCGAUGRCGAAGGCAGCCAUCUGGCCUAAUACUGACGCUGAGGUACGAAAGCAUGGGGAGCAAACAGGAUUAGAUACCCUGGUAGUCCAUGCCGUAAACGAUGUCUACUAGCCGUUGGGGCCUUUGAGGCUUUACGUCGGCGCACUAACGCGAUAAGUAGACCGCC
rnacentral:rRNA from 1 species